CAGUUCUGAAGAUUGCUUAGGAAGACUGUGUCAUAUAAAAUAAUUAUUUUAUUAAAUUAUAAGCAUAUAUUACUGGAUUUGGGACAUAAGACUCACAGAAGUGAGGAACACUUUGUGAUCUGAUGCCUGUCUACACCAGUCAAGUGAAUUAACAACAGAUUUCCAGUCGAGUGAGAUUAAACGAUAUAUCAAGGCAAGCUUGGAAACAUCUAGUUAAAAGGAGACGUCAGGGUGUGUUUACAGUGGAUACAAGUGAACAGAAGUAACCUCAGAUUUCCAUUUAAGAGGAAAAAAAUCUUCAGACAUUAUCCUUCAGUUCCAACAGCUUUUGUUCUGAAGCAGUAAUGUUAGAAACUGAUCUAAACAAGAUGCUUUCAAAGGGGGUUGUUUUCUUCAAAGAUGAGCCUGUCAAUACAGGAUACAGUUACUUAACUUCAUAUGUUUGCAUCUACAUGUUUAUCACUUACUGCGUAUAUGCUAUGAACUAUUUGUCACUUUACAGACGAUGGUACAUGUAGCUUGCAUUGUUUGAAUACCAAUAAGUAAAUUCUUCGUUGAAACGCAUUUUCUAUUGAUAAAGAAAUUUUCAAAG